CUGGGCUAAGGAGGGCAGGGUGUCCUACAAUUCUGUUUCUGCUGUAGUCUGAUGUGAGUUCAAAUCUCAGCACCCUUUGCUCUUAGAAAUACAAUAAAAAUAUGUCACUCUGAAGCCACAAUCCAAAUUGUUGGCAGAAAUAAAAUAAGAUUUGACAACGUGGGGUUUCUCUUGGGACCCUUUAGGGAGGUCCCAGGAGCCUGGGGGCCGGUGUGUGUUUUAGAUUCCAAUGUGACUGUAUCUCAGAUCUGUUACUGCUCAGAAUCUAAAGAAGCAGACCAAGCAAGUGCUGAGGGUUCCAAGGUUGGAAAGGUCUCUUCUAGUCGGGAUAGGGGGCUGAGGAGGGGAGCAGAACCAGGGAAAGAAAAUAAUAAAAACAGCGUUAAUGAAGACUGUUUAUUUUUUCGGGGAGGUGAGAAGGAAGCAGUAGGGAAGGUGUGAGAUUUGGGGCUAGCAUGCAGUUUGUAGCCAGACACGUAGAUUUCAGUCCCAGCAUAGCCACUCAGGAGCUAAGUGAAUCUAGGCCAGUCACUCAUCUCUCUAAAUCUCACCUGUAAUCUGCGUGCGGCAGGACUACCCCCUAGCGCAAUUGUCAGGGUCCAGGUUUCCACAGUGCCUGUAGAGGGCUUGACCACAUCGGGGAAUUAAUAUGUGCUAAUUCCACUGAUUUCCCCACCCCUUCCCUUAAGUGGAUCACUCAUCUAGAAAGUAUGAAACCCUCUUUCAUCAAAAUAUACAAAAACUCUGUCUUAGAGAAGUCUGACAAAAUUAACUUUUAAGCUGAAAAAAAAAGGCUCUGCAUGAACGAUGAACCAAUUGGCUUAUUUUCUCGUGACCUUGCUAGCCAUGCUCCCCCAAGCACAGGCGCGCGCGCGUGCACACGUGCACGCACAGAAGUGGAAUGCCACGGAGAAGGAAGGCCAGGCUGUGACAGUCCCAGCAUCCCGCCCGGACUGUGGAGGCAGAACAGGCCCUUCCGGAGCCCCUUGGGAUUGGGGUCUGUCCUUGCCCCGGGCCACAGACUGAGAACAGUCCACAGGCCUGGUGUCCUCUGCCCACUCUACCCCGUGAGGAUGGUGCCUGGCAUCCCCAGAAAAACUGUGGAAACGCAGCCUGCCAAAGACCUCUCAUCCUGAUUUCCCCCUGGGAGAAGAAAGGAAGGAAAGUGGAGAAAGAAAGAUGAAAUGAAAGCAAAAUGAUGGAAGAGGGAAGGUGCCGAGGGGUGAUUGCCCAUGUGGAUGCUAAGACCUGCUCCUGGCUGCCUGUCUCAUCUAACCUCUUAGGGGACCCUCAUUAUCCUCUUGAUCUAUCACUCUUUAACCCAGGUCAUCUCUCCUCCCUGCUCAGCACGUUUGUGCAUAUAUCACAUAUACACACAGCCCAGCGUGCACACGCACACAAACACACACACACACACACACACACGGAGUUAGCAGUCUGAGGCCCAUUUCCAGCAAGAGCCCUUACACCCCUUGCUUCCUCUGGCCUCUUACUCCCACUGUGUCCCUCUGUUUGCUCUGCUUUAGCCCUCUGGUGCUUCUUUUCAUCCCUAACCUUGAGCUUGCCCCUUGGAUGGAAGACACACCUGGCUCCUCCAGGUAGAUCUUCAACUUCUUCUCAGACACCAUUGGGGCUUGUUCUCUGGCUCUUCCCCCUCUGGUUCUGCCAGCCUGGGUGACUACCCCACUGAUUUAGCUCUUGCCCGAGGACUGAUGCCCUUAUCAUCUCUCACCUACACACUGGUACUGGUCCUAUGCUUCCAGAUUCUCCCCAAUAUCAUCCAAACUGCCCUGAAAACCACCUUUCCAAGAUGCAGGCCCAAGGGUGUCACUGCCCCAUGCAAAAUGCUGGCAAUGGCUCCCCAUGGCCUAUUGGACAAAGUCCACAUCUUGGAAGGCGCUUACUUGACCCCCCCCCCCUCCAUCUGCUUUUCCAGCUGUGUCUCCUGGUACUCUGCACCAAGCAGUCCACCCAAAGACUCUGGAGAUGAGCUCUUGUCCACUGGGCAUAUCCCCCAUUCGUGCCUCUAUCAGGGACCAGUCUCUUUCCUGAGGCUGAAAUGAUUCUCCUCCAAAUCUUUGCUCAUGAAAAUUCUACCCAUUCUUCAAGGCUACAGCUCCAAAAGGCUGUACACCUCUCCUGGGAAGCCUUCCUGUAUCUCUCCUCCUACAGCCAUCACCUCCUUUUUCACUUCUACGCCAAACCUUAAGUCGCUUUUAUAUACUUGGAAAAUGAAUCAAGAGGCCUUAUACCAUGUCUGGGUGAGGUGCCCUCCCAUGUGCUCCAACAGAGCCUGUAUGUUCCUUUCCCAGAACAUUUAUCACUCUGUGUUGGUUGUCCUUUUAACUGUUGGUCUCCCCCACUGGAUUAUGACACUCUAAGGGCAGGGUCUGGGAGACCUUGUUCAUGCCAUAUCCCCGGUGCCUAGCAUGGUGCUUGGUUCCUUGCACCAGUUGAAAUGGGCCUCCAGGGCUCUCUAUUUCUGCUAUGGUCUAAAUAUUUGCGUCCCCCAAAUUCAUAUGUUGAAAGCCUAAUCCCCAGUGUGAUGGUCUUUGGAGAUAGAGCCUUUGGGAGGUAAUUAGGUCAUGAAGGUGAAGCCCACAUGAUGGGAUUAGUGCCCUUAUCAGAAGAGACAAGACAGAGCUUCCUCUCUUUGCUUUCACUCCCUGACACAUGAGGACAAGCAAACCAAGGAAGAAGAUAGAAAACGAGGAACAGGGCUUUUACCAGAACCCAUCCAUGCUGGCACCCUGAUCUUGGACUACCAUCCUCCAGAACUAGGCACCUACUGCUUCCAGGCUCCUCUGCUAUCUUCCACUGACCCUGCCACUGGCCCCUCGUACAGGUAUGAGGACCACCCAGAUACAAUCCUGAGAUGAUGGGCCUGGAGUCAGAAGAACUGGGUUGGAGUCUCAGCUCCACCUCGUAGCUGCCUGCCAUUGGGCAAGUCCCUGUACCUCUCUGACCAGUUUCCUUAACUGUGAAAAGGGGUAACACCACUCACUGCAUGGGGUUGCUGUGAGGACUGAGAGACAGUGUGGGGCUGUAAGCAUCUGACAGACUGUGCAGUGCUCUCCAAACAUUGGGGCCUUCGUUACAGCCCUCACCCACUUACGGCCGCGCUUUGGAAACCUGUUCAGAUCUAGCCAUGUUGACUCUAGCUGCCAUUUGGGCUCAUAAGGAUGUCCUAGAAAGGACUUUUGCCACCUCUCUGCGUUAACAGCUCAAAAUCUCCAGACACUUCUGAUUGCCAGGACCCUUUUGAGCACACGAUGGUUUUCUUCCUCAAAAUCCUUAAAAAGAAAAAAGGCUUGAAUGGCAAUCAGGACUGGCAGAAGUUGGGCUGUCAUUGUGAACAGAGGAAGGAGGCUGCAAAAGGAGAUGGGAAGAAAGUGGAUAUGCUGAUAGCCAGGCUGGUGCUCUUCCAGGUAAGUCUACCUGCCCUGGCCCCAGGCGGCCCUCCUGGGGUUGGCUGGUCCUGCAGGCUCCCAGGAUACAGCAGAACUAACAAAUAGCGUAGCAUGGAAUACCAAGCACUGGGCAAAUUAUGGCUUCUACGCAGAGCGUUAAAACGGCGGAAAGAGCCGGGUUGUAGAUCCAGCAAAGCCCAGCUUCAGUCUCUGUUCUGCCCCCUUAUGAACAGAGUAACUCAACCAAGUCUCCUAAACUCUUACAGCCUCAGUUCUUCAUCUGUAAAUUGAGGAUCAUUUAGAUAAGAACCAAAUUCAAAUGUGAUUGUUUAUGGAAAUCUCAAGCACAGUACCUGGGCUCAAUAAAUGGUAAUUGCGACUGAUUUUAAAAUGAUUUCUCCAAACUAGUAUUUCAUACUGCCAGGAAACAAGCAAAGACAAAUUCAGAAAACUAAAAUGUUGG